AAUGGAAUUCAAAAGUAUGUCUGUGUGAAGGUUUGUUUGAUGGUGGCCACCAUGUGAAAGUGAAUGAAUGAAAGUGUAUGCAUGUAUGUGUGGGAAUGUAUGAAC